rnacentral:rRNA from 1 species
GACGAACGCUGGCGGCGUGCCUAAUACAUGCAAGUAGAACGCUGAAGAGAGGAGCUUGCUCUUCUUGGAUGAGUUGCGAACGGGUGAGUAACGCGUAGGUAACCUGCCUGGUAGCGGGGGAUAACUAUUGGAAACGAUAGCUAAUACCGCAUAAAAUUGAUUAUUGCAUGAUAAUUAAUUGAAAGAUGCAACUGCAUCACUACCAGAUGGACCUGCGUUGUAUUAGCUAGUUGGUGAGGUAACGGCUCACCAAGGCGACGAUACAUAGCCGACCUGAGAGGGUGAUCGGCCACACUGGGACUGAGACACGGCCCAGACUCCUACGGGAGGCAGCAGUAGGGAAUCUUCGGCAAUGGGGGGAACCCUGACCGAGCAACGCCGCGUGAGUGAAGAAGGUUUUCGAAUCGUAAAGCUCUGUUGUAAGAGAAGAACGGGUGUGAGAGAGGAAAGUUCACACUGUGACGGUAUCUUACCAGAAAGGGACGGCUAACUACGUG